UAGCCCCGAUUGAAACGGAAAUCCUUUUGCGGCCGCAGUCCCGACACUUCGGGACGGAGGCCGUAAAAGAUUGCAGUGAAAAGCGGGAAAAAGC
rnacentral:sRNA from 1 species